rnacentral:rRNA from 1 species
UACGUAGGGUGCGAGCGUUGUCCGGAAUUAUUGGGCGUAAAGGGCUCGUAGGCGGUUUGUCGCGUCGGGAGUGAAAACCAUGGGCUUAACUCAUGGCUUGCUUUCGAUACGGGCAGACUUGAGGUAUGCAGGGGAGAACGGAAUUCCUGGUGUAGCGGUGAAAUGCGCAGAUAUCAGGAGGAACACCGGUGGCGAAGGCGGUUCUCUGGGCAUGAUCUGACGCUGAGGAGCGAAAGCGUGGGGAGCGAACAGG